CGCUUUAUUCUGCACAAAAAUCAAACUUUUAACUUAAAACAAAAGGCAAAUGGAUGGUUUUGGUGCAGUGAUGCCCCCCCCCCAGCCCAGCUCCUGGGGUGCUGGCGUGCAGCCGCUUGCGGCUUUGCCAGAAUUGCAUAGUUCAGCCCCAGAUUUCCCACGCGGUGGUCACCCAGGGCUCCAGCAGGGACGUGGGUGCUCCAGGAGGGAUGUGGGAGCUUGGGAGAGGGGUGGAGGCUGGGAUGAGGGUGCUCCCGGGGGUGAUGAGGGUGCCCCAGGAGGGAUGGUGGUGUUCCCGGAGAGGCCGAGGGUGCCCACGGCAGGGAUGUGGGGGCUCCCGGGAGCGGUGCGGAGGGGCUGCACUCCCGGCCCUCUCCCGGGCAGCCGGACCCCCCUCCGCACCCCGGCUGGGGUGGGCAGCACUCGGCUCCCGGYGUUUCAUCCCUGGUGAAAACUUCCUCAGCGCCCGGCUGCAGCACCGGCCCCGCGGCUGCCACCAGCCUGCCCAUGCCGGUGCCGAGGCUGGACCGGGGAUGGGGGGUCAGCAGCCGGGAUGGGGACGGGAACAGCAACAGGGAUGGGAACAGGAGCAGGGAUGGGAGCAGGGAUGGGGACAGGGAUGGGGACGGGGACCGGAGCAGGGCCAGGUGGGACCGUGGGAACCAGCCUUGCCGCCGUCCCCUCGCUCGGCGCUGGCUCUCCGUCCCCUGGCGCCCACCAAGCCCCGCGGGGUGCUGGGUGGUGUGAGGGGGGACGGGGACGGAGCAGGGCCGCCCGCGGGUGUCCGCCCCACCGAGCUCGCCCUGCGUGGGGCCGGGCACGGCGCUGCCGCYGGGGGACGCGGCCACGAGGAUCCCUCCAGCCCUGCCUGCGCGAGGAGCCCGCCGUGCCCUGCUCGGAUGCUGGGGGUCCCGGGUGUCCCAGGGCACCGGGGUCCGCACAGCCUGGGGGCUGCAGGGGCUUGGGGAGGGGACAAGGUGACCGGGAGYGGCACAGGCUGCUGCAUCCUGCACGGCUCACGGGGGGGCUGCACCCACGUCCCGCUCGCRGGGUCUGCGCCUGGGCCCAGCUCGUGGGGUGCUGCCUCCGUGCAGGGUCCGCACCCGUGUCCGGAUCGCGGGGUGCUGCACCUGCGCCCAGCUUGCAGGGUGCUGCACCCGCGCCUGGUUCGUGGGGUGCUGCAGCCGUGCCUGGUUCAUGGGGUGCUGCAUCUGUGCCUGGUUCAUGGGGUGCUGCAGCCAUGCCUGGUUCAUGGGGUGCUGCACGGUGCUGCAC
rnacentral:lncRNA from 1 species